rnacentral:rRNA from 1 species
UACGUAGGGUGCGAGCGUUGUCCGGAAUCAUUGGGCGUAAAGAGCGUGUAGGCGGUCCGAUAAGUCCGCUCUGAAAGCCCGGGGCUCAACCCCGGGAGGCGGGCGGAUACUGUCGGGCUAGAGUCCGGAAGAGGCAAGUGGAAUUCCUGGUGUAGCGGUGAAAUGCGCAGAUAUCAGGAGGAACACCGAUGGCGAAGGCAGCUUGCUGGGACGGUACUGACGCUGAGACGCGAAAGCGUGGGGAGCAAACAGG